rnacentral:rRNA from 1 species
UACGUAGGUGGCAAGCGUUGUCCGGAUUUAUUGGGUUUAAAGGGUGCGUAGGCGGUCCUAUAAGUCAGUUGUGAAAUACGGCAGCUUAACUGUCGAGGUGCAAUUGAUACUGCAGGACUUGAGUACAGACGAGGUAGGCGGAAUUGACGGUGUAGCGGUGAAAUGCUUAGAUAUCGUCAAGAACACCGAUAGCGAAGGCAGCUUACUAGACUGUAACUGACGCUGGGGCACGAAAGUGUGGGGAUCAAACAGG